rnacentral:rRNA from 1 species
GAUGAACGCUGGCGGCGUGCCUAACACAUGCAAGUCGAGCGGAGAUAAUGAAGUUUCGAUGGAUUUAUCUUAGCGGCGGACGGGUGAGUAACACGUGAGUAACCUGCCUUCUUCUGGGGAAUAACACAGAGAAAUUUGUGCUAAUACCGCAUAAUGUCACGACUGGGCAUCCAGAUGUGACCAAAGGAGCAAUCCGGAGGAAGAUGGACUCGCGUCCGAUUAGGUAGUUGGUGAGGUAACGGCCCACCAAGCCUGCGAUCGGUAGCCGAACUGAGAGGUUGAUCGGCCACAUUGGGACUGAGACACGGCCCAGACUCCUACGGGAGGCAGCAGUGGGGAAUAUUGGGCAAUGGGGGAAACCCUGACCCAGCAACGCCGCGUGAAGGACGAAGGCCUUCGGGUUGUAAACUUCUUUGAUCAGGGACGAAACAAAUGACGGUACCUGAGGAACAAGCCACGGCUAACUACGUGCCAGCCGCCGCCGUAACAC